rnacentral:rRNA from 1 species
GAUGAACGCUGGCGGCGUGCUUAACACAUGCAAGUCGAACGGAAAGGCCCUGCUUGUGUGGGGGGCUCGAGUGGCGAGCGGGUGGGUAACAAGUGAGUAAUCUGCCCUGGACAAUCGGAUAACUUCAGGAGACUGGGGACAAGACCGGAUAGGUGCUCCCGCUGAAUGGCAGGGGAUGGAAAGGUUCGGCGGGUUGGGAUGGGCUCGCGGCUGAUCAGCUUGUUGGGGGGGUAGUGGUUUGCCAGGGCAUUGACGGGUAGCCGGCCUGGGAGGGUGACCGGCCCCGUUGGGACUGGGCUGCGGCCCAGCCCCCUCCGGGAGGCGGCGGAGGGGAAUAUUACACAAUAGGAGGAAGCCUGAUGCAGCGCCGCCGCGUGCGGGGUAGCGGCCUUCGGCUUGUAAACCGAUUUCGCCUGUGACGAGGCGUGAGUGACGGUAAUGGGUAAAGAAGCACCGGCUAACUACGUG